GCCACAGCAUGGCCUCAUGAAUGGUGUGUAGGUCCACGCCAAGGAUCUGCACCAGUGAACCCUGAGCCAUCAAAGCAGAGUGCACGAACUUAACCACUUGGCCGUGGGGCCAACUGCAGAGAAGAUUUUCAAAAAUUCUCUUUUCGCUGCUUAGUCUCGUUAAGGCAGUGUUUCUCAGCCUCGGCCCUAUUGACGUGUAGACUAGAUCAUUCUUUGUAGUGGGGGCUGUCCUGUGCAUCACAGGGUGUUCAGCAGCAUCCUCAUCAUGGUCUGCCCACUAGAUCCCAGUAGCACCUCCCACCCCCAGCUGUGACGAUCCAAAGUAUCUUCAGACACUGCCAAAUGUUUCCUUGUGGGGUAGACACCCCGGUGGAGAAUAAUUGCUUUAAGGUAAGGUUUUAUAACACUCCCAAAGAUAGCUUAAUGGCUUAUCUUUCUUGUUUUUCCUUUCUUUUUCCUCUCCAAGGAUGAAGGAAAAUAUGAGAUGCACUUUAGACCUGGGCCCAGUGGGCGCAGAAUAGCAAGGGUUCACAGCAGGCCGACCUGGCUUUGGGGCCUCCUGUGGCUUUCAGGCUGCCGUGGCUCUGCAUACACCGUUAACACGUCCUAGUUGCCUUGGGUGGAUAUGCAUUUCACAGAGUGUCUGUUUUCUGAGCCCUGAAAAUGUAUCCUUUAAUCUUUGGCUCAGAAAACCCCUUGACUCUGGGAGGAGACACCAAAGGCCUUCUCAUGACAGGCAGGGAGAGGGCUGUUUGGAUUGCUAAUUUGUUUUCGCGCCUUAGUCUGUUUUUCCUUCAUGCCGUGUUCUCUGUAGGCCUUGAGUAUGAAUAAUCACGCGCGGCCUGAGGGGCGAAGCAGGAGGCCUGCUUUUGGAGUUGUUUGUACCGUAAUGAAAUAGAAAGUUUAAAAGCCUUGCAAAGCUGAGCAGAUGGAUGGGGAGGGCAGUCUAGAAUGCACUUUAAAAAUUCCUCAUAGGGGCUGGCCCCGUGGCCGAGUGGUUAAGUUCGCGCGCUCCGCUGCAGGCGGCCCAGUGUUUCGUCAGUUUGAAUCCUGGGCGCGGACAUGGCUCUGCUCAUCAAACCACGCUGAGGCAGCGUCCCACAUGCCACAACUACAAGGACCCACAACGAAGAAUAUACAACUGCGUACUGGGGGGCUUUGGGGAGAAAAAAUAAAAUAAAAUCUUUAAAAAAAAAAAAUUCCUCAUAAACCGUGGCAAACUCUGGAAGCCUCUUGGAGGUCAGGGAAAUAAACUGCCCACUCACGUUAGAAUGGCACCCCUCGUCAGAACUGUCCCCCAAUGUUAAGUCUCAGUGCAGAGUGUCCCCAAUCACUCAAAUGCUCUUCAAGAAAGCUUUCUCAACGUUGUAUUUCAUGAAUUGUCAUCUUGAAAACCAAACUAAGCGUUGACGUUUUCUGAAUUGUGAGUGGUAACUUGAUAACUAGCCAUCUGAAAUAUCUAAUCUCUACUAUUUUGUGUUCAGCUAGGUUCCGGUCUGGAGAUGGUUGGGUUUAUUCGAAUUGACUGCCAAAGACGUCAAGGACUCUGUUGAGCCUUUAGUUGUGUUAAUUAGCCACAGGCUGGACAUCUCCUCCAUGACAGUAGUCCUGAGAAUGGGCAGGUUUAUGAAGUGUUGCACGACCACGUUGCAUUAUGACUGUUCAGUUAUGUGGAGGUGAUUCCCUCAAAACUGUGAGCUCUUUGAGGUCUAUGAAUCUCCAGCAAAUAGAACACUGCCAAGCAAUAGGAUAUAUUGGAGUACAUGAGGAAGCCAUUUGGUGUAAAACUAAUUCGGCCUGAACUUAUUUUUCCUAAAAGGCCUGACAUGGCCUUGAGCAUACGUUGUAUAUCUGCUUUAAGUAUUUACUACGUCUCAAAGACAAGAACAAUGCCCUUAAAGAUAAAGAUGUAACUUCCCCCAUAUUUGCAUUUCCUUAAGGAUAAGCAUGUCUCCCUAGGCUAGGGAUUGAUUGCUGACCUGCCUUGUUCAUGGAAUUGUGGAAAUGCUGUGCAGCAAAGCCAUCUUGUGACUAUUGUAGAAGGGACAUUCUAACCAUAUGUGUUACAUGCUCUUUGACUAUAUAACCACUCUGUCUGCUCCCACUUCUUUGGAGUGCUCCAUUCCUUUGUGAAAGGACUCUCCCAGGCUAUAUGGUCCUCAGAUCUGGCUCAUAAUAAACUCACCCCAAUUUUGAUUUAUAGAUUGGUUAUGGAUUAUGUGCGUUGACAUUACCGUAUAGCAAACGCUCAAGUAGUGUUGCACAGAGCUGGUUGAGAGCCAUGAAAGAAACAGGAUGAAAGAGUAGAAUGGGUCCACAGAAACCAUCCUCAUUCAUGGAAAGACUAAUGGGUAACAUGCCCUCUUAAUAGAAGGAGGAAGGCAAUACAGGUGUCAGAAUGGAGUUUUAGGCUCCUCCCUCCCACCCUCUUUCUUGGAGGGGAUCUUGGACAACUGGAAUUAGUAUAACACACUAGAGUUUUUGCCUGAUGGGUCAUCAAUACUAGCAAUAGAAAGGUUUAUUUUUUCUGUCACUGUUAUAUGCUGAGGAAGCUGAUGAAUCAGAAUAUUUUUCUCUCCUCUCUUUAGAUGGAACUGGCUGGCUGAGAGUCUGUCACAGGAGUGAAUGACUAAGAAGACAGAAGUCUUUAAGGGUGAAGUAGACUCCAUGAAUUCCUCAGAAAGGAAAGUAAAGGGCGACUUUGACUGCCUUCCGGAUUCCUUGUGUGAAAGGAUAAUUCUUAAGUUGGAAUAUAAUCAUAAAUCUCAGACAUAAACUGAAUGGAUUUUAGAGAUGUUAUUUAAAUCAUUAGUCAGUGAGGGAACCAGUAAGACAUCACAAAAACCCAGUAAGAUGGUUCAAAGGAGAAUUCAAAGAACCAGCAACAAUGCUGAAAUCAAUUUACAGAUUGAUCCAAAACUGGACUCAGUCCACAAGAGAGGAGGGAAAUCAAUUGCAUUUUCAGGGAACAAAAUUCAUUUGCAUGUCGAUGGAUAAGAAUCACUUGCAUAACUGUCAGUUACCUAGGAUUUACAGAAUUGUAAAGGAGCUCAAAGUCAAUGAAAGGCAGAGAGGCCUCACACAGCCAAGUCACCUGGAAGACUACUCAGAUGAUCCCCACUGCCUGGUUUUUCACUGAAGACAACUUCUAGUUCCCGUCUCAGAGGCACCCUGGUGUUUCGUGUGUGUUUAGCAUACAGACGCUCCUGUUUGUGCUUGCAAGAUUCCUUGUCCUGGAAGAAGCCAGCCACCAGCCUGGGAGGACACUCAAAUAGCUCUUCGGAAAGAUCCUCAAGAGGAGGAGGUGACCAAAGGCCAACAUCAACUUGCCAGCCAUGCAGGCGAGCCACAUCAGAAGUGGAUAAGAUGAGGUGGUGUUGUGAACUAAGGUGACACGAGUGGUUUGAGAUUACUAGGUGGAUUCGAGACUUGGUAAUGGAUUGAAUGUGAAGAUGAGGAAUGCUUGCAGAAAUAAGCAUCUGGGUGCGCAAAGCGGCAUUUAUGGAGGUUGGAAAGACUAGAGGAAGAACACACGGGUCUGAGAACUCAGUUAAGUUAAGAACUCAGUUUUAUAUAUUGUGAUCGUCAAUUCCAUAGUUUCGGCAAGAUAAAAGAAUGUGGCCAGUCCUGGGGAAAGGAUUUGUCUUAUAUCUACUCCUAGUUUUGACAGCAACCAGCUGCUUCCAGAUAGCAUCUAUCAAACGUUAUGGAGGUACCUUCUCAUGCAUUUCUUCCGCUAAUGAUCUUAUGUUUGAGGAUCUCAAACUGCAGAUAAGCAAACAUGUUACUCAUUAGCACAGCUCUGGCUGGACAACCCUUUAGGAUUAAAUGAGUCGCUGCUAACCACAUUAGAGCCGUCACCUGGAGGUCUCCUUUGAGGAAAACACCCCUACGCUCUUCCUUUUGGUCACUGCCAAAGGAGUAUGGGAUUGUGUUCUUCAAAGAUCAAGUGUUUGUGAUAAAAAUCUGUACUGUUUCCUCCUCUCGGGCAUGCUGUCUCUGGAUGUUUUCUGAGUAAAACACACUCAGCUAACUGGCAGAACACAGAACUGUUUCAUGAAAGUGAACACACAGUUUAGGUAGAUAAACCACUUUUAUUUCACUAUUUUAAUAUUGCUUGUUUCAGAGAGAUACAGGUAUGUAAAUUCUGCCUUUCAGAAUUUAGGAGGCUC
ensembl:lncRNA